GGGGUCGUAGCGAAGCCAGGCAUCGCAACGGGCUCCAGACCCGUGGGUCAAGGGUUCAAUUGACUAUAGUCUGCGCUUGGUCAGGAUAAAUCCCUUCGGCCCCA
rnacentral:tRNA from 1 species